rnacentral:misc_RNA from 1 species
AAAGGAUCAAAACUUCUCAAUCUUUGCUGUAAAUCUCUGCAUAUUCAGGUUUUGCAUUUCAGAUUUUCAUACCUAAAAUUGGGUAAGAAAGAAAGAAAGAAAUGAAGGGCAUGAAAGGGAAACUAGUCAAGAAGCUGAAAUCAAUCAAGCCAAUUGGUUACUUGAAGCUUGAUCGAGUUCUUCAGGUGAAUGCCGCAGAUGGGUUCAUCGAAACAUUGACAAAGAGCCCAAGUUUCAGUGCUGAAACUCAGUUCAUACCCAAAGAGCCAGUCCGAGAAAAGGUUGAAGAAACAAGGGUUCUGAAGCAAGAACCUGAUAUUAUUGAUGUAGCAGAGCUCAUGAGAGAUCUUGAAGAAGAUGAAAUGGAAGUUGAUGAUGAUACUGGCGAUAAGGAAAAUAUUGGGCCGCCAAUUGGGGUUAAAGAUAAGAUGGAAACUUCUUUUAGACAGCAAACACCUUUGUUAGAGAUUAACAUCUCAUCUUUCCGACGACCAGAUUUGAAUUCCGGUACCCUUUUCGACCCGAACCUUUUAGCAGCCUUUGAACAAGCGGUGAAAGAGCACUUUAGGUUGAGUGAAGCAGAGAGACAAGCAAGAAUUGAGAAAGAAAAUCUUGAAAGAAGAAAACGAGAAGAAGAAGAAGCAGAGAGGAACGCGAGAAAUCUUGAAAAAUGUGAAGAGGAACCUCCAUUAAAAUCCCGUAGAAUUGAAGAAGAAGAAGAAGAA